rnacentral:rRNA from 1 species
AAGGGGUGACGGCGUACCUUUUGUAUAAUGGGUCAGCGACUUACGUUCAGUAGCAAGCUUAACCGUAUAGGGCAGGCGUAGCGAAAGCGAGUCCGAAUAGGGCGUUCAGUUGCUGGGCGUAGACCCGAAACCAAGUGAUCUAUCCAUGGCCAGGAUGAAGGUGCGGUAACACGUACUGGAGGUCCGAACCCACUAACGUUGAAAAGUUAGGGGAUGAGCUGUGGAUAGGGGUGAAAGGCUAAACAAACUUGGAAAUAGCUGGUUCUCUCCGAAAACUAUUUAGGUAGUGCCUCGUGUCUCACCUUCGGGGGUAGAGCACUGUCAUGGUUGGGGGGUCUAUUGCAGAUUACCCCGCCAUAGCAAACUCCGAAUACCGAAGAGUGCAAUCACGGGAGACAGACAUCGGGUGCUAACGUCCGGUGUCAAGAGGGAAACAACCCAGACCGCCAGCUAAGGUCCCCAAAUAUAGCUAAGUGGGAAACGAAGUGGGAAGGCUAAAACAGUCAGGAGGUUGGCUUAGAAGCAGCCACCCUUUAAAGAAAGCGUAAUAGCUCACUGAUCGAGUCGUCCUGCGCGGAAGAUGUAACGGGGCUAAGCUAUAUACCGAAGCUGCGGAUGCG